rnacentral:rRNA from 1 species
AUUGAACGCUGGCGGCAGGCCUAACACAUGCAAGUCGAGCGGAUGAUGGGAGCUUGCUCCCGGAUUCAGCGGCGGACGGGUGAGUAAUGCCUAGGAAUCUGCCUGGUAGUGGGGGACGACGUUUCGAAAGGAACGCUAAUACCGCAUACGUCCUACGGGAGAAAGCAGGGGACCUUCGGGCCUUGCGCUAUCAGAUGAGCCUAGGUCGGAUUAGCUAGUUGGUGGGGUAAAGGCCUACCAAGGCGACGAUCCGUAACUGGUCUGAGAGGAUGAUCAGUCACACUGGAACUGAGACACGGUCCAGACUCCUACGGGAGGCAGCAGUGGGGAAUAUUGGACAAUGGGCGAAAGCCUGACCCAGCCAUGCCGCGUGUGUGAAGAAGGUCUUCGGAUUGUAAAGCACUUUAAGUUGGGAGGAAGGGCAGUAAGUUAAUACCUUGCUGUUUUGACGUUACCAACAGAAUAAGCACCGGCUAACUUCGUGCCAGCCGCCGCCGUAAAAC